AAGUCGAACGACCCCUUCGGGGGGAGUGGCAGACGGGUGAGUAACGCGUGGGAACGUGCCCUUCACUUCGGAAUAGCCCUGGGAAACUGGGUGUAAUACCGGAUACGCCGUAUUGGGAAAGAUUUAUCGGUGAAGGAUCGGCCCGCGUAAGAUUAGCUUGUUGGUGGGGUAAUGGCCUACCAAGGCGACGAUCUUUAGCUGGUCUGAGAGGAUGAUCAGCCACACUGGGACUGAGACACGGCCCAGACUCC
rnacentral:rRNA from 1 species